rnacentral:misc_RNA from 1 species
GAUGAAGAACGCAGCGAAAUGCGAUAAGUAAUGUGAAUUGCAGAAUUCAGUGAAUCAUCGAAUCUUUGAACGCACCUUGCGCCCUUUGGCCAUUCCGAAGGGCAUGCCUGUUUGAGUAUCAUGAACACCUCAACUCCUCAUGGUCUUCUAUGAUGAGCUUGGACUUUGGGGGCUUGCUGGCCCAUUUGGUCAGCUCCUCUCAAAUGAAUCAGCCUACCAGUGUUUGGUGGCACCACAGGUGUGAUAACAAUCUACGCUUGAUGUUUUCCACCAGGCAACCUUCAGUAAUUGGGGUUCACUGGGGCUCACAAAUGUCUUUCUUCAGUGAGGACAGCUCUUUGAAUGUUUGAUCUCAAAUCAGGUAGGACUACCCGCUGAACUUAAGCAUAUCAAUAAGCGGAGGA